rnacentral:rRNA from 1 species
CUUGGUCAUUUAGAGGAAGUAAAAGUCGUAACAAGGUUUCCGUAGGUGAACCUGCGGAAGGAUCAUUAUUGAUUGCGAAUCGUUACCUUCAGUGCUGGCCAGCUCUGGCAAGUGCACGGCGGUGACUUUCAUCCAAUACCCUGUGAACCUUUGGCCUUUGCUAGCUUCGGCCGGCAGAGGAAUUUACACAUACUCGAAUGUAAUGAAAUACAUUGUUGUGCGCAAGCACUAAUGUACAACUUUCAACAACGGAUCUCUUGGCUCUCGCAUCGAUGAAGAACGCAGCGAAAUGCGAUAAGUAAUGUGAAUUGCAGAAUUCAGUGAAUCAUCGAAUCUUUGAACGCACCUUGCACCCUUUGGCAUUCCGAAGGGUAUGCUCGUUUGAGUGUCAUUGUACUCUCACACUCUCACUCUUUGGAUUGGGAGCGGUGGACUUGGGUGUUGCUGCUUUACCGCGGCUCACCUCAAAUGGAGUAGUGCACCUCUCGGUUGGACAUAGUACGGCGUGAUAAGUGUCUUCGCCGGCGCCUCAUUAGAGGGUGGCCGAUCGGGAGCUCUGUGCUUCAAACCGUCUUCGGACAACAACUGACAACUUGACCUCAAAUCGAGUAGGACUACCCGCUGAACUUAAGCAUAUCAAUAAGCGGAGGA